rnacentral:tRNA from 1 species
AGAAAGUUAGUCUAAGCAAGACAGUUGAUUUCGACUCAACAGACCAUAGCCUGAUCCUAUGACUUUCUC